rnacentral:rRNA from 1 species
ACUUUACAUCUAUAAACGCCAGGGAAUUACGAGCUACGCUUAAAACCCAAAGGAUUCGACGGUGUCCCACCCACCUAGAGGAGCCUGUUCUAUAAUCGAUAAUACCCGCUAUACCCAACCACCUCUUGCUAUUCAGUCUGUAUACCUCCGUCGAAAGCUUACCAUGUGAACGCCUACAGUGAGUACAAUUACCCCCAACGUCAACACGUCAGGUCAAGGUGCAGCUUAAGGGGUGGAAAGAAAUGGGCUACAAUUUCUAAUCUAGAACAAACGAAAGACUAUGUGAAAUCAUGGUACUGAAGGCGGAUUUAGCAGUAAAAAGAAAAUAGAGCGUUCUUUUUAACCUGGCUCUGGGACGCGUACACACCGCCCGUCAC